rnacentral:rRNA from 1 species
UGCCCAUAUAACACUUGGAAACAGGUGCUAAUACCGUAUAACACUAUUUUCCGCAUGGAAGAAAGUUGAAAGGCGCUUUUGCGUCACUGAUGGAUGGACCCGCGGUGCAUUAGCUAGUUGGUGAGGUAACGGCUCACCAAGGCCACGAUGCAUAGCCGACCUGAGAGGGUGAUCGGCCACACUGGGACUGAGACACGGCCCAGACUCCUACGGGAGGCAGCGGUAGGGAAUCUUCGGCAAUGGACGAAAGUCUGACCGAGCAACGCCGCGUGAGUGAAGAAGGUUUUCGGAUCGUAAAACUCUGUUGUUAGAGAAGAACAAGGAUGAGAGUAGAACGUUCAUCCCUUGACGGUAUCUAACCAGAAAGCCACGGCUAACUACGUGCCAGCAGCCGCGGUAAUACGUAGGUGGCAAGCGUUGUCCGGAUUUAUUGGGCGUAAAGCGAGCGCAGGCGGUUUCUUAAGUCUGAUGUGAAAGCCCCCGGCUCAACCGGGGAGGGUCAUUGGAAACUGGGAGACUUGAGUGCAGAAGAGGAGAGUGGAAUUCCAUGUGUAGCGGUGAAAUGCGUAGAUAUAUGGAGGAACACCAGUGGCGAAGGCGGCUCUCUGGUCUGUAACUGACGCUGAGGCUCGAAAGCGUGGGGAGCGAACAGGAUUAGAUACCCUGGUAGUCCACGCCGUAAACGAUGAGUGCUAAGUG